CAGCCGCGGCCCCAGGGACCAGACCGUACUCCGGAGCCGCGCUCCGGGCGUCACCCCCGCGGCCGCCGACAACUGAAUAAACACACCGAGUCGCUGCGAUCUGUCAAGGGCUGGGGCCGCCU
ensembl:misc_RNA